rnacentral:rRNA from 1 species
GUGGGGAAUUUUGCGCAAUGGGGGAAACCCUGACGCAGCAACGCCGCGUGAGUGAUGAAGGCCUUCGGGUUGUAAAGCUCUUUUAGUGGGGAAGAAGCCCUCCCUGGCUAAUAUCCAGGGGGUCUGACGGUACCCACAGAAAAAGUUCCGGCUAACUACGUGCCAGCAGCCGCGGUAAUACGUAGGGAGCAAGCGUUGUUCGGAAUUAUUGGGCGUAAAGAGCGCGUAGGCGGUUCGGUAAGUCUGACGUGAAAUCCCGGAGCUUAACUCCGGAACUGCGUUGGAUACUGCCGGGCUUGAGUGUGGGAGAGGAGAGUGGAAUUCCCAGUGUAGAGGUGAAAUUCGUAGAUAUUGGGAGGAACACCCGUGGCGAAGGCGGCUCUCUGGACCACAACUGACGCUGAGGCGCGAAAGCUAGGGGAGCAAACGGGAUUAGAAACCCCAGUAGUCC